UACGAAAGGGGCUAGCGUUGUUCGGAGUUACUGGGCGUAAAGCGCGCGCAGGCGGCUUGACAAGUGAGGCGUGAAAGGCCUGGGCUCAACCUGGGAACGGCGCUUCAGACUGUUUGGCUAGAGUCCGGGAGAGGGUGGUGGAAUUCCCAGUGUAGAGGUGAAAUUCGUAGAUAUUGGGAGGAACACCGGUGGCGAAGGCGGCCACCUGGACCGGUACUGACGCUAUAGCGCGAAAGCGUGGGGAGCAAACAGG
rnacentral:rRNA from 1 species